GUUAACAACUUUUCAGAUUUGAUAAUCUAUAUCAACUCUUCAUAAAUCAUCUAUUGGGUAUUACAAAACGUGGCCAAAGUGAAUCACAAAAGACCUGUAAUUACCUUGCAAAGCUCCUUUUCUGGUAGGUCGUUUAGAAGGUAACUUUCAGGUUACAAAACUUGGAGAUAAAGAUUGAUUCAACCAUUGAUUUUAUCGCAAAGUUAAGGCGAAAAGAAUCAGUUUAUAGAAGAGCUUUUGUUCUUAGGUCUGAGAAUCUAAGAAAGACUGAGGUUGAUCUUUUUGGAGAUCAAGUUGAUUCGCUUGUGAAGCUUCUCCAGAAAACACUUUGGACAUUUCAUCAAGUAAUCUCUAUGUAAACUCAGAUGUAAGUUAACCUCUCUGUUUUUAAGUAGACUGUUUCACAAGUAAUCUCUAUGUAGAAAAAUCUGUAUUGCCUUUUGAGUUUUUUUUU